CAACUUUCAACAACGGAUCUCUUGGUUCUGGCAUCGAUGAAGAACGCAGCGAAAUGCGAUAAGUAGUGUGAAUUGCAAAAUUCAAUGAAUCCACCAAUCUUUGAACGCCCAUUGCGCCCUUUGGUAUUCCAAAGGGCAUGCCUGUGCC
rnacentral:rRNA from 1 species